rnacentral:rRNA from 1 species
GAGCACGUAGGUGGGUUUGUAAGUCAGAUGUGAAAGCCUCCUGUUCAACGGGAGAAUUGCAUCUGAAACUGCUGAUCUUGAGUGUAGGAGGGGAGAAUGGAACUUCUGGUGGAGCGGUGAAAUGCGUAGAUAUCAGAAGGAACGCCGGCGGCGAAAGCGAUUCUCUGGCCUAUUACUGACACUCAGUGUGCGAAAGCUAGGGGAGCAAACGGGAUUAGAUACCCCGGUAGUCCUAGCCGUAAACGAUGAGCACUAAGUAGAGGGAAUUACCGAUAUUCUCUCUGCCGUAGCUAACGCAUUAAGUGCCCCGCCUGGGGAGUACGGCCGCAAGGCUAAAACUCAAAAGAAUUGACGGGGGCUCGCACAAGCGGUGGAGCAUGUGGCUUAAUUCGAUGCAACGCGAAAAACCUUACCGGGGCUUGACAUGAUAGAAGUAGGAACCCGAAAGGGUAACGAACGGUAUCCAGUCCGUAGCUAUUACAGGUGUUGCAUGGCUGUCGUCAGCUCGUGUCGUGAGACGUUGGGUUAAGUCCCCUAACGAGCGAAACCCUUGUUUUUAGUUGCCAGCGGGUUAUGCCGAGCACUCUAGAAAGACUGCCGUCGUCAAGACGGAGGAAGGUGGGGAUGACGUCAAGUCAUCAUGGCCCUUAUGCCCCGGGCUGCACACGUGCUACAAUGGUCGGUACAAACGGAAGCGAAACCGAGAGGUGAAGCGAAUCC